AUUGAACGCUGGCGGCAGGCCUAACACAUGCAAGUCGAGCGGAGCGGCGGACGGGCGAGUAAUGCCUAGGAAUCUGACUGGCAGUUGGGGAUAACGUCCGAAAACGGGAGCUAAUACCGCAUACUAUCAGAUGAGUCCAGCUCGGAUUAGCUAGUUGGUUGGGUAAAGGCCUACCAAGGCGACGUUCCGUAACUGGUCUGAGAGGAUGAUCAGUCACACUGGAACGGCGACUCGGUCCAGACUCCUACGUGAGACAGCAGUGGGGAAUAUUGGACAAGGGGCGAAAGCCUAUUCCAGCCAUGGGGCGUGUGUGAAGGGAGUCUUCGGAUUGUAGAGCACUAUAAGUUGGGAGGCGUUACCAACAGAAUAAGCACCGGCUAACUCCGUGCCAGCCGCCGCGGUAAUAC
rnacentral:rRNA from 1 species